ACAACAAAGCUGUAUCAAUGAGUCUAUAUCCAAGUUCAAUAGCAUGUUUUAUAACUUUCUCUCCUUCUUUGCCUUUAAGCUAAAAAUUAUAUUCCGUGCUUAGUUAUUUAACAAAGCGAAAAAUAUAUUAAGUAUUGAAUUCGGGGUAAUAAUACUAAGUAUACUCAAUAAAUACAUCCUCAUCAUCACCAAUCUUUUUCCACAAGCCAACUACUAAUUGUUAAAUAUUUAAAUAAUAUAUAAAAGACAGUUUUAUUAUAUAUGCUGAUUUUUGUUGUGGAACGCUAUAAAAGUAACAUACUUCAGAAACAAAUAAAUAAGAAAAAUGGAAGCAAGAUUUCUUAUAGACACUUACGGAAUAUGUUCCAAAACCGAAGGAUGGCAUUGUAUAGCCAUUAUUCAUAAAAAUUGUUGGCACUGUCAUUUUAUGACAAAUAUAUAACGAGAUACUUGAUACUGGAAUACAAAUACUUCAAAUAAACCAAGGAGCACGGUAACGCCCCAAAGAUAA